rnacentral:rRNA from 1 species
GGGGAAUUUUCCGCAAUGGGCGAAAGCCUGACGGAGCAAUACCGCGUGAGGGAUGACGGCCUAUGGGUUGUAAACCUCUUUUUUCAGGGAGGAAUCAAUGACGUGUACCUGAAGAAUAAGCAUCGGCUAACUCCGUGCCAGCAGCCGCGGUAAGACGGAGGAUGCAAGUGUUAUCCGGAAUCACUGGGCGUAAAGCGUCUGUAGGUGGUUGAAUAGGUCAACUGUUAAAUCUUGAGGCUCAACCUCAAAACCGCAGUCGAAACUAUUUGACUAGAGUAUAGUAGGGGUAAAGGGAAUUUCCAGUGGAGCGGUGAAAUGCGUAGAGAUUGGAAAGAACACCGAUGGCGAAGGCACUUUACUGGGCUAUUACUAACACUGAGAGACGAAAGCUAGGGUAGCAAAUGGGAUUAGAUACCCCAGUAGUC